rnacentral:rRNA from 1 species
AUGGAGGACGGGGACAUCGACUUUGUCGUCGCCAAGAGCCCCGUCCUGGAGACCCUCAACAUCCAUGGAUGCAACAAGGGGCUGCGCCUUCGCCUCGUCAGCCAGAGCCUCCGCUGCGUCCAAAUUUGCAGCUCUGUUCUCGAGGACAUUGCCGUGGUGAAGGCUCCUCGCCUCGAGCGGCUCAUCCUGGAGGGCUUUCGGAGCAACGCCGUUGUCUUGUGCACCAGAGUCAGGAUUGGCGACGCUCCCAAGCUACACGCGUUAGGAAUCUUGGAGCCAGGGAGCACCAUACUAGAGAUCCGAGACACCAUCGUCGUGCCCGGGAUAAAGGCGAGCCCAAGCACCAUGGCCACCGGCAUCAAGGUCCUGAGUCUGAAUGUGCGUUUCGGAAACCACACGGAUGCCAAGAUGGUUCCCUCCUUCCUCGGCUGCUUUCCCAAUUUGGAGGCACUGCACAUUAUUUCUGAAAAAUGUGAUCAUCAAGCUGGCAGUGCCAGGAUGAACCGCAGCUUCUGGAAGCAGACCAAGCCCACUGAAAGUGUCAAGUCGUGUAUCAAGGUGUUCUCUUACAGAGAAUUCCGAGGGGAGCUUGGGGAGGUUGCCUUCCUCAAGUUCUUCUUUCGGAACGCGAGGGCGCUGAGGACUGCGUCCAUCUCCAUGGCUAACCAGAGCUUCACGACAUUCUCGAUGGAUGAGGCAACUCGUAAAGCACAGGAAGCUUCUAACAACAUGGCCAGCAGGUCCUGCGAAAUGGUGCUUCUCGGGAGCACAGGUCCUGAAGGAGGUAGCCCCUGGAGCUUCAAGAGAGGGACGGAUUACUCCUUUGAUGACCCUUUCUCAGCGGUGCAGAUCCACAACAUAGCUUAA